UAGCCGGCCUGAGAGGGCGUCCGGCCACACUGGGACUGAGACACGGCCCAGACUCCUACGGGAGGCAGCAGUGGGGAAUAUUGCACAAUGGGCGCAAGCCUGAUGCAGCGACGCCGCGUGAGGGAUGACGGCCUUCGGGUUGUAAACCUCUUUCACCAGGGGCGAAUCGCAAGUGACGGGUCGAGAAGAAGAAGCGCCGGUCCACGACAUGCCAGCCGCCGCGAUAUUACGUGCGGGGGUAGUGUUGAAUGGAAUUGCUGGAAGAGAACAGCUCGGAGGUGUUUCGUCGCGUUGGUCAACACAACCGGUAGCUUAACCCGCGGGGUGGAGACGAUACGAGUUGACUACACUACUGGAGAGAGGACUGUCAUU
rnacentral:rRNA from 1 species